UCUCCGUUGGUGAACCAGCGGAGGGAUCAUUACAGAGUUGCAAAACUCCCAAACCCUUGUGAACUAUACCUAUCCCGUUGUUCCGGCGGGCGGCCCGGGCCCCGCGCCCGGCGCCCCCCGGCCCCCCGUGGACGCACGCCCGAGUUAAACCAAACCCUUGUAUUGCAUGGCCUUUCUGAGUCUUCUCUACUGAAUAAGUCAAAACUUUCAACAACGGAUCGCUUGGUUCUG
rnacentral:misc_RNA from 1 species